GAUCCUGGCUCAGGGAUGAACGCUGGCGGCGUGCCUAAUACAUGCAAGUCGAGCGAAUGGAUUGAGAGCUUGCUCUCAAGAAGUUAGCGGCGGACGGGUGAGUAACACGUGGGUAACCUGCCCAUAAGACUGGGAUAACUCCGGGAAACCGGGGCUAAUACCGGAUAACAUUUUGAACUGCAUGGUUCGAAAUUGAAAGGCGGCUUCGGCUGUCACUUAUGGAUGGACCCGCGUCGCAUUAGCUAGUUGGUGAGGUAACGGCUCACCAAGGCAACGAUGCGUAGCCGACCUGAGAGGGUGAUCGGCCACACUGGGACUGAGACACGGCCCAGACUCCUACGGGAGGCAGCAGUAGGGAAUCUUCCGCAAUGGACGAAAGUCUGACGGAGCAACGCCGCGUGAGUGAUGAAGGCUUUCGGGUCGUAAAACUCUGUUGUUAGGGAAGAACAAGUAGCUAGUUGAAUAAGCUGGCACCUCUGACG
rnacentral:rRNA from 1 species